rnacentral:lncRNA from 1 species
UUUUUUUUUCUCACGGUGCAUCAAGGGAUUACAUUGGAAAAAUUAAAUGAUGAGUACAUGUAGUUGAAUGUUGAGACAUAAAAGGAUGCUGUCUAUGUUAUGUUUCUUAGUAUAUUACUGUAACUAGUGAGGUUCCAAAAAAGAAAAACCAAUAUCCUUAUCUCUCUCUGUGAUUAGUGCUGUUUGGUUGCGAGUCAUAUAGUUUUAACCUCUGCAAUGCCUUUUUAGGUGGUCUUUCUUCUUCCCUAUUAACUAGGUUUUGUAUCCAUGUCUUAACAUGUUUGUCACAUAAGAAAUUUUCCGCAGAAAACUAGUUAUUCUUGAUUUUUUGUUCUAUUACAAUUAUAUGUUGCUCAAAGAAAAUGGACUGAACAGUCUGUAGCAGUUGAAUGGGUUUGCCAGAUGAGUUCACUCCAGUGUUAUUGAAAGCCAUUGCUUGGUCGUUUAAAGUUAUGAAGCGAUACAGCAAGGGCUAUCGCUUCAUCGAUGAAGCCAUGCGCUUUAGAGAAGUUUGCACUUCAAAUAAUGGUGCACAAAGUGAUUCCAACGAGAAUUUAUUGUUUCAUUGAACCUCAACUUUUAGAAGUUGGAUUAAUGCUGGCAUUUUCACAAAGUGAUUCCAACUAGAAUUGGUUGCUUCUUUGAACAUCAAUUUUGAGGAGUUGCAUUAAUACGGGGAUUAUUGUAUAUUGGGUACUGAAAUUAGUUAUUUUAACUGCAAUUUGAUUUUUAUUGUAGAGUAAAUUAAUAAAUGUUUGAUAUUUUCUUGUUUCCUGUUAAUUGUGCGCCUCACUUCUCGCUAUUCACUGCAAGUCCGUGGACCUUGUUUUAUUUUGUUGCAUGUUUUGCUUUUAAGAAUACUAGGUCACUCCUACCUUAAUGAACAACAUUUAUAACUUAUCGAAUGUUUCCACAAGACAUAGAUCGUAUUUAGCAUACUAAUUUGAUGUGAUUUCGUUCGUGAUAAAUUUUUGAUUUGCCAUAUAGGGAAGUCUGCUGCAAUUCAGUAUGGUAGUGGAGCUAUUUCUGGAUUCUUCAGUGAAGAUAACGUCAAAGUUGGUGACCUUGUUGUAACAGAUCAGGUGAGUGAGGCUCCUCACUUGUUUUAAGUGUCUUGAAAGUAGAAAUCUUACAUCUCAAGGUGUUGAUGUACUAGGAAUUUAUUGAGGCAACCAGAGAACCCAGUGUGACAUUUUUGGUAGCCAAGUUUGACGGUUAGGUCUUGGAUUCCAGGAGAUUUCAGUUGGAAAUGUUGUUCCAGUUUGGUACGUGGAUUUAGUUUGCUCUCUUUCUUUCCCACAAACCAAAGUAAUGCAGGAUAGGCUGGAUAUCUCUUUCUGUUUAAAUUUGAUUUGGUAUUCAUCUGGGCAGCAUCUCCUGUCUUUUCCAGGUACAACAUGGUCAAACAGGGUCUUAUCAAGGAUCCUGUCUUCUCAUUUUGGCUCAACCGAAAUACAGAGGAAGAACAAGGCGGAGAAAUCGUAUUUGGUGGGGUUGAUCCUAAUCACUAUAAGGGUGAAAUAACUUAUGUCCCAGUCACACAGAAAGGUUAUUGGCAGGGUUGUCAUUCCAUCAAUUCGUUACUAUGUAUGCUAUAAGGGAGAAAUAACUUAUGUCUCAGUCACACAGAAAGGUUAUUGGCAGGUUUGUCAUUCCGUCAAUUCGUUACUAUGUAUGUUCAUGUUUUGUACAAAUGCUAUCUUAAUCUUAGUAAUAUGAUUGGCAGUUUGAUACGGGUGAUGUUCUUAUCGAUGGUAAAGCUACUGGUAUGUUUUGCUGUGUACCUUUUGAAUUGGAUUGCUUAAUUUCGGGAAUAUAGAUAAAGGCUAUGUGCCUGGAUAUAGCCUUCCUUUGUGUUUUUAACAUGAACAUAUCGGGUGUAGGUUACUGUGAAAGUGGGUGCUCUGCAAUAGCGGAUUCAGGGACUUCUCUCUUGGCUGGUCCAACGGUAUUAUCUAUAGCCUUGAUUUUGGACAUAUCGCUUUUUUGUUAUGUUUUUGUUAUUUGUUUCCACCAUCAAAGUCAACCGCAAUUCGAUUAUUGAUUUCCUUGUUCCUUUGAACCUUCAACAGCUUGCUCAGCAAGAAAAGUAACAUUUUCCUAAGAUUCAUGCGUUAAAUAGAACGAAUCCUGCGUCUGAUCUGUGUUGUGUUUUAAUUUUUCAUCACAGAGAGGAUGUUAGUGAAAUUUGUUUUUCAUUUCUGAGGUUACCUUUGGAUAUACUAUCUUAGCUUAUCACUGGGCCGAAGUCUGUAAAUCUGCUUUCUCUUUCCUGUCUUUCAGUUUAAUACGUGUAAGCCUGCCUCAGUAGGUACUUGUUGUUUUCUGUUACUUGCUUUUAUUAAACUUCAAUGAGGAUGAUGCUUUUACUUCUGCUUUGGUCCUGGUGUUCUGUCGACUUAUCUAUUUACCCCUCUUCUAUUUGAAAGAAAAUUAUCCAACCCGAAAACUGUAGCCAGGUUUUAUCCUGUUGACUUGGAAAAUGUGACACUUAAAUGAAGUAAAAAUCUGCUGCCUUUUGUCUCUACAAAUUGAGGGGCGGACGUUUACCCAAACGGUGUCAUCCGACAUUGCUUGGUCGAAAUACUGUUCGGCCAAGAGAUCUUUUUGUUCUUUAAUCUUUGCCAAUUCAAGUUGAUCCAAGGCUCUUUCGAUCUCGGACCGAUCCCCUGGCUCUUCUUCAGCCGUUUUACUAUAUAGACAUAUAUAUAUGGGAAAAAACAGUACGUAAUAUAAAUUAUAAAUGACCAUUUAUGCGUGUAGCUGUCUCUGGUAUAAUGGUCAAGUGCUGUUUUUUCCCUACUUGACUUGAUGUCGUGGGAUUGACCUCAGCGGAAGGCAUUUUUUGAUUUCAAAUUUUUUAUCAUGGUCCUUUUAAAAACUAGAGUUUAUAUAAUGUUGAACCUUCAAUAUCAUCUUAAAAAAACAACUAAAUCUGGGGGACAUGACGAACUCCACGUUAAAAGUGAAAAAAUUUAUUUGAAUGCAUAAAGGAAGCUGUUUAAGCAUACAUAAUGUAAUUUAGAAUAAUAAUUUUAAAAAAAUUAUUCGACACCGCUUACUAAAAGUUCUGUGAACGUCCAUUGUACGAUUAAAACACUUCCAAGGUUGAGCAAUCUUAAAACCCACCCUUUUCCGUACAGACCAUAAUCACUAUGAUUAAUCAAGCCAUUGGAGCCUCUGGAGUUGCUAGCCAACAAUGCAAAUCUGUAGUGGAGCAGUACGGGCAGAUGAUCAUGGAUUUGCUGUUAGCAGAGGUGAGCAUUCAACUGUCUAACUGCAUUUUCAUUUUUGAUAUGCAGUUUCCUGUGCAGUUACAGCAAAAUGACACUUGGAAAUCUAGUUGCCUUUCCCAGUUAUCUAAUUGGUCCGCAUUUAAACAGGCACAUCCAAAGAAAAUCUGUUCACAGGUUGGAGUAUGCAAUUUUGAUGGAAACGGCGGAGUUCGGUUAGUCUUCAGGCUCUCUCUGCCCUUUCACGUGAACGUAUUGUGCAUUUGGUUAAUCUAUAAUGUUGAUAUAAAUACUGAAUUGUUCUGUGGCCUUUUUUCUGCAGUAUGGGAAUUGAGAGUGUUGUAGACGAGAAAGCUGGCAGAUCCACAGGACUGCAGGAUGGUAUGUGCUCUGCUUGUGAAAUGGCGGUCAUAUGGAUGGAGAAUCAACUGAGACAAAACCAGACUCAAGAUCGCAUAUUAAACUAUGUGAAUGAGGUAAACAUCUGUCACUGCAAUUUUCUCCCUUUCUUUGAAAAGAAUGCUGACUGACUGACAGCUUUGCGAGCGUCUCCCAAGCCCAUUGGGGGAAUCAGCUGUUGACUGUGGAAAGCUUUCUUCAAUGCCUAAAGUCUCUUUCACAAUUGGUGGCAAAGUGUUUGAUCUUUCCCCAAAUGAGGUAUGCUUUAUAAUGGUGUUUGCGAGUAAUAAACUUUGCUAUGCCUCUAGUAAUUCAACAUUGUCAAAGAGAGAGAAAUUAAGUGGCUCAUCAUAGAGUCUUUUUGUGGCAUUUCUACUAAUUGUCAUAUUACAAAACCGAUUCUAGUGCUUAAGGUUUUCAGUUUUUACAGAGAAGUAGAUGUUUGUUGUCAUCAAGAAGUACUUCUAUAUUUUGAGGUUGUGAGUAUUUCGAUUUUACAUCAAUUUAGAUGUCUCAUUUUCCAACUAAGUAAUCUAAGAGAACCUCCAUAAGAUCUUUGUGCCGUGAAAAAGUUACUCUUUUCUAUUUUUAUGGAAGUGUAUUACUUGCUGACCUUGCUAAUGCAAGCCGCUUGAGAAGGUCCAAUGAAUUGAGAUAUAGAUGUCGUCCCCCUUCCCAAAAAAAAUAUAAUAAUUUAUGUCUGGAUGAUUCAGCAUAGAACAAUUCUCUACCUUCAGUAGGCAGGGGUAAGGUCUGCGCACACUACCCUCCCACAGCUCACUUGUGGGAUUCCACUGGGUUGUUGUUGUUGUCGAUUCAGCAUAGAACAAAUCUUACAAAGAAGAAAAUUCAUCAAGUGUACACCAAAUCAACUUGAUCAUUCACGUUUUUUCUAAAUUUGUUUGUUCUGUGGUUUAGUGAACAUAAAGAGAUUGAGCUUUGAAUAAUUCAGGAUAGAACAUAUCUUACAAAGGAAAAAAUUCAAGUGAGACACCAAAUCACUUGACCAUACGCAAAACUUUUCUUUACCAGACCAUCACUCUAGUCUUUUCCUGCCCUUUCAACAAAUUUUAUUCAAGAAUGAGAGUGAAGUUGUAAUCCGAAGUGUGGUUCUAUUUUACUUGUUUCAGUUGUCUGUUUAGCUUGCUGACCUAGAUUGAUCUAUAUUCUAGUUUUGGAUUCUUUUCCCGUGAUCAGUACAUACUCAAGGUGGGAGAGGGUGCUAAGGCACAAUGUAUUAGUGGUUUCACUGGCUUGGACAUUCCUCCUCCCCGCGGACCUCUCUGGUAAAGUUAUCUUUAUAUGAUCUCUCUAUUUUAGUUUAUAAACAUGUUUUUUGAGAUAAAUACUAGCAAUGUAGUUAAUCCAACAGCAAGCUUAAUCCGAAUUAUAGAGCUACGGCACAAUUAAACCCGAGCCAGCAAUUCUUUUGUUCACCGAGUUUUCUAUGGUAUUCCUUUGGUUACAGGAUCUUGGGUGAUGUUUUCAUGGGUCGAUAUCACACAGUCUUCGAUUAUGGCAAACUCAGAGUUGGAUUUGCUGAAGCAGCUUAAUAAAACCAAUGACCCUACAUCCACCCCCUUCUAUACCUGCUCCCAGAUAUAGCAAAUGGAUUUGAGAUGUAUGAACACUCUUAAGGUGUUGGAAAAAACUAUACUUGUAAAUAUUUCCUUCUAUCUUCGACUCUGAGAUGAAGCACUGCUACUAUGUCCUUUGUGCGUUUAGCUGUUUGUGUUAUUUUGGUUGAAAUUUAAAGUCAGGUGAAUGUGCUUAAGGUUGUGUCAUAUGAUUUAUGAUUCUAUUGUCAACGCAGCAGGAUUCAUGAUGUUGAUACCAGUGUUUGCCAUUAAGAAAUUUCCUUCCUAAAGAAGAAUAAGACAAGUUAUAUAGGAACCCUUAUUCUUUGUCCUACCAUCUGCAUAAUAUGCGCUAUUCUUCCAGUUGUUAGAUAAACGCCUCAUUCAAGCUAGUUGGAAUUGGAUAUUCAUACGGACAAUUUUUUUAUUUUUUAUUUUUUGUUUGGCGAAAUGUUAGAUUCAAACAUUUAAUGACCAAAACUUAGUUACAAUUAAGGGUGUUAAACGGCUCUACCGGGCCGGUCUAGGUCUGAAAUUUUUCGACCCGUCUGGGUUUCGGGCCGGGCCGGGUUGCGCAGUGACGGGUUCAUACCGAGCUGGGUUAGUUCGGGUUAAAAUUGAACAAUACGGGUUACGGGUUGAAGGGGGCCGGGCCGAGUCCGGUUUAGUAUAUAUAUAUUUUUUGGAAUUAUGUGUAGUAUAACUAUUAAAUUAUAUUAAUACUUUGUAAUAAUUGAAUGAAUACAAGUAAGAUGUGAAAAAAUUACACUUAUUACAAAUGCUACUUUAUUCCUUAAUUUCAAAUUGAAAAAGUAGAAAAUGAAAUGUUUACAUUUUUUCUAACAAGUAAACUAGNNNNNNNNNNNNNNNNNNNNNNNNNNNNNNNNNNNNNNNNNNNNNNNNNNNNNNNNNNNNNNNNNNNNNNNNNNNNNNNNNNNNNNNNNNNNNNNNNNNNNNNNNNNNNNNNNNNNNNNNNNNNNNNNNNNNNNNNNNNNNNNNNNNNNNNNNNNNNNNNNNNNNNNNNNNNNNNNNNNNNNNNNNNNNNNNNNNNNNNNNNNNNNNNNNNNNNNNNNNNGAUCUAAUCCAAUAUCUGAAACAUACUAAAACUUCCAAAGCAUUGCUUCCCAAUGAGUGACGGGUGUCUCCAAGUUGUUGUCUUGCUUGGCUAAGUGCCCUCUCUGAUGCAACAGUGGAAAUUGGCACAUUCAAGACGUCUCGAACUAUAGCGAAAAGAACGGGAAAUUGCUUUUCAUUUCAUGUCACCAUCCCAACGGUGAAAAUUCCUUUGUGCGAGGCUCCUUUUGCUUCUGGAAGUAGAAUUGAAGCUCAUCAAUAUUCCUGCUAUUCUUUGAGCUUGAGGUACUAGAGGCACCUGAUCUUCAACAUUAUCAUCUUCCUCCUCCCUCGGGAGAACAUUUUUGAGUGGAUCAUUAUUUUCUAUUUUUUACGUGAAUCGAUUAACUCAUACAAGUUACUAAAACAGAAGGAAAGAAAAACAAGACAUACAACUAGUCAGAUAGAUAUCCAAAAUCGUUUAACUCCCCGACAACAGCACCAAAAGGUGAUCAGCUCCAACGUUGCAACACAAUAUAACGACGAGGAGUGGUCGAUGCAGCUUUUCCCUGAAAGUUCAGGAUCGAUAUCCAUAGGGAGUUAAUAUUGGUUGGGAGUUAGGUUUCUAUUGAUUUAAAACUGCACCAAUUAAGUAAAUCAGAGGAAUUGGAAAGAAAGAUUUUUUAAACUUUUCUUGCAAUUUUUCCAACAACAUCCUUAUAUUUUUCUUUCUUCUUAAAUUCAGAUAGUAGCAAAAAAUUUCAGCUAUAUGUACUAAAGUCAUAGUAACAGUGGGGUAAUAUGCGCCAGAAAACACAACAGUAUCAGUAUAAAAUUUAUGUAAAAAUUUAACAACAUCAUUAAUGACCUCCCAAGUAUCAGUUGUUAACAUACGCCUAGGAUCAGUACAAUGUGCAUUAGCAACUUCAGUUAUAGGAACCAUGUUAUUUAAUUUUCGCACAUCGUUUUCUAUUUCUGUCAUCAGGCAUGUGACGACCCAACCCUUCAUCUCAUGAGUUGCCGCUCUGUUUUCUCCAUUUCUACUUCUCCAUUUCUAGAAAAUUGCAUAUCAGUGUUGUAGAGAAAUGGCUUUCACGUUUGAGAGUAGGCCUCGUGUUCGCGAAGGGUUAGCUUGUGAAGGUUGAAAUUUUAGUCUUUGCGUUCGCGAGGAAGGCUCUGUGUUCGCGAAUGGCUGAGUGUUUUAGCAUCACGUUCGUGGGUGAAGCUCCAUGUUCGUAUAGAGGAAAUUGGACAACUAGGUUUGAUGUGUUUUGUUCAUCACGUUCGUGAAAGAGGGGGUGCAUUCGUGAAGAGUUGUCUGAGGAAGCAUCGCGUACACGAUCGCGAAGAGGAAAAUUCUGGUCAAAGUUGAGUUGUCUAGUCAAAGUUGAGUUGGUCAACCUAAGCAGGUUGUGCAGAGGCUCCAAACAUUGGGGGCAACUCCAGCCCAGCCGGUUUCACCAGCCUAGGAGUAUGUGGUACUGGUUAUGCCGGACGAUGAGCAGCGUGAGCUAGAGAGAUUUGGUAGACUUCAGCCUCCGACUUUGUGCAGAGGGCGAGGAUGCAAAGGGUUUCUUGGAUAAAUGUCAUAGGAUGCUUCGUACAACGGGUAUUCUAGAGACUAGAAGUGUAGCAUUUAUUACUUUUCAGUUUUCUGGGGCUGCCUUCACUUGGUGGAAGGCUUAGAGAGGCAUAAACCUGUUGGUGCAGCGUCCCUUACCUAGCAGUAGUUCUCCGCUCUUUUUCUGGAGAAGUAUGUGCCACAGUAUCGCUGCGAGAAGCUGUGCAGGCAGUUUGAGCUGUUGCACCAAGGAGAGAUGACUAUGAUGCAGUAUGAGACGUGGUUCUCUAAGUUAGCUCGUUAUGCGGUCUGGCUGGUUCCCACAAAUCCAGUGAGGAUCAGGAGGUUUGUUGUUGGCCUCACAUAUUAGAUUCAGAUUCUUAUGACUAGGGCGAGGGUUACAGGUGAUACGUUUAAGGAGGUUGUUGACACAGCCCGUGAGAUUGAGUCGGUUUGUCGCCAGGAGAAUGAGGAGAGAGAGGCCAAGAGGCCUCGGGGAUCUGGUAGCUUUAGUAGUGCUUCUUCAAAGGGUCAGUUCUAGUAAAGCAGAGGCUGUCUAUUCAGAAAGGCUCAGCCAGCUCGUGUAGGUUAUUGUGGGACAUUAUCGUCUCAUGGUUCUCAUAGUUUUCAUCAGGGCCAUUCAUCACUCAGUGCCCUUCCAACCUAGAGUUCAUUAUGUGCUCCAUCAGUUCAGGGUUCUUCCAUGCCAAGUCCUUCUACUAGUCAUUCCGGUGCAAGGGUUUCCCUUCAAUACCCAUCUCCAGCACCGGGGAGUUGUUAUGAGUGUGGAGAGUUUAGGCAUAGGAGGAGGCAGUGUCCUUGUCUUCAUGACGGUCCAUCUCAACAGAGGGGUCAACCCUCGACUUCAUCUAUAGUUACUUCACCACCUACCCAGCGAACAAUAGGUGGAGGUAAGUCAGCUGGGGGUCUCCCUAGAGGGGGAGGUCGAUUAGGUGGUGGUCAGGCCCAUUUUUAUGCCCUCCCAGGUAGACCAGAUGCUGUUGCUGCUUUAGAUGCCAUGAUUUCAGGUAUUGUUUCAGUCUGUCACAGAGAUGCCUCAAUAUUAUUUGAUCCUGGUUCCACCUUUUCUUGUGUGUUAUCAUACUUUGCUCAUUAUCUGGAUAGGCCCCGUGAGUCACUUGUUUCACCUGUUCAUGUAUCUACUGAGGUGGGCAAUACUGUUGUUGUAGACCAUGUGUACUUGUCAUGUGUGGUGACUAUUGGGGGUCUAGACACCCGAGUGGAUCUUUUAUUAUUGUGUAUGGUGGAUUUUGAUGUCAUUUUGGGCUUGGAUUGGCUAUCUUCAUGUCAUGCUAUUCUGGGCUAUCAUGCCAAGAUAGUAACAUUGGCUAUACCGUGUGUGCCACAUAUCGAGAGGCGAGGUUUGACUAAUUAUGUUCCCAACAAAGUGUUCUCAUUCUUGAAGGCCUAGCGUAUGGUUGGGAAUGUAUGUCUUUCUUAUCUAGACUUUGUGAGGGAUGUCGGUGCAGAGACUGUCCCAGUUGUGAGGGAUGUUCCCAAUGUGUUUCCUGAUGAUCUGCCAUGCAUGCCACCAGUACAGGGAUAUUGAUUUUGGUAUUGACCUGGUGCAGGGCACUCAGCCUAUUUCUAUUCCACCUUAUCGCAUGGUACCAGCAGUGUUGAAAGAGUUAAAGGAACAACAUUAGGAACUCCUUGAUAAGGUGUUCAUUCGGCCUAGUGUGUCACCUUGGGGUGCGCCGGUUCUAUUUGUGAAGAAGAAUGGUACUAUGAGGAUGUGCAUUGAUUAUAGGCAAUUGUACAAAGUAACAGUUAAGAACAAGUAUCCUUUACCUCGCAUUGAUGAUUUAUUCGACUAGAUUCAGGGGGCGAGAGUGUUCUCCAAGAAUGAUCUCCGUUCAAAUUAUCACCUGUUGAAGAUCAAGGACUCGUAUAUUCUUAAGACAACUUUCAGGACCCGAUAUAGUCAUUAUGAGUUCUUGGUGAUGUCUUUUGGGCUGACCAAUGCCCCAACACUGUUCAUGCAUUUGAUGAACACUGUAUUUCGGCCUUAUCUCGACUCAUUUGUCAUAGUCUUCAUUGAUGAUAUUCUAGUGUAUUUGCAUAGUCAGGAGAAACUCGCGGAGGAUUCGAGAGUUGUGUUGUAGAGAUUGAGGGAGGAUAAACUUUAUGCAAAAUUCUCCAAGUAUGAGUUUUAUCUCAGGUCAGUGGCUUUCUUGGGGCACGUGGUUUCAAAUGAAGGUAUUCAGGUUGAUCCGAAGAAGAUGGAGGUAGUUUAGAGUUGACCCAGACCGUCCUCAACCACAAAGAUUCGCAGCUUCCUUGGUUUGGCGGGUUAUUAUCGCCAGUUUGUUCAAGGCAUCUCAUCUAUUGCAUCGCCUUUGACCAAGUUGACUUAGAAGCAUAAUUCAUUUGUAUGGUCGGAUGCGCGUGAGGAGAGCUUUAAGAAGCUUAAGAUGGCCUUAACCACAGGUCUAGUGCUAGUUUUUUCAUCAGCUUCAAGUUCAUAUACCGUGCAUUGUGAUUCUUCAAGAGUUGGUAUUGGGUGUGUAUUGAUGCAGGAGAGUAGAGUUAUUUCUUAUGCUUUUUGUCAGUUGAAGCCCCAUGAGAAGAACUACCCCAUUCAUGAUUUGGAGUUGGCUGCCAUAGUUCAUGCGUUGAAGAUUUAGAUGCAUUACUUGUAUAGUGUGUCUUGGAGGUGUUUACUAAUAAUCGUAGCCUCCAGCACUUGUUCGAACAUAACAAUCUCAGUUUGAGGUAGCAGAGAUGGUUAGAGUUGUUAAAGGAUUAUGAUAUCACUAUAUUGUACCAUCCGGGAAAGGCCAAUGUGGUGGCCGAUGACUUGAGCCAAAAGGUGGUGAGUGUGGGGAGUUUGACAUAUAUUCUAGUUAGGGAGAGACCUCUUGCAGUUGAUUUUUUGGCCUUGGCCAAUCGUUUCGUGAGGUUGGAUAUUUCGGAGCAUAUUCGGAUAUUGGCUUGUGUGAUUUCUCGGUCUUCCUUAUAUGAUUACAUCAGAUAGCACCAAUAUGAUGAUAUGCACUUUCUUGUCCUUAAGUACAGAGUUCAGCAUGAUGAUGCCAGGGAUGUGACUAUUGGUGAUAAUGGGGCGUUGAGGAUGCAUGGUCGGAUAUGUGCACCCAAUAUGGAUGGACUUCGAUCUUUGAUUGUAGAGGAGGCCCAUAGCUCACGAUAUUCCAUUCAUCUGGGUUCCGCAAAGAUGUAUCAGGAUCUGAGACAUCAUUAUUGGUGGAGGAGAAUACAGAAAGACAUUGUGGGAUUUGUGGCUCGGUGUCUUAAUUAUGAUCAGGUGAAAUAUGAGCAUCAUAAACUGGGUGGCCUGCAUCAGCGGAUGGAUAUUCCAGAGUGGAAGUGGGAGCGGAUCACCAUGGAAUUUGUAGUUAGGCUCCCACGGAUUUUGAAGACAUUCGAUGCUAUUUGGGUGAUUGUGGAUCGGUUGACCAAGUCUGCGUACUUCAUUCCUAUGUUUACUACCUAUUCAUCAGAGUGGUUGGCAGAGACCUAUAUCCGGGAGAUUGUUGGUUAGCAUGGUGUCCCAGUUUCCAUCAUUUCAGAUAGGGGUGCUCAGUUUACUUCGCAUUUUGUGAGGUCUGUGUAGUAGAGUUGGGUACUCAGGUUGAGUUGAGAACAAAUUUUCACCUUCAGACGGAUGGGCAGUUAGAGGAUACUAUUCAGAUAUUGGAGGAUAUGUCACAUGUUUGUUUCAUUGAUUUCGAUGGGUCAUGGGAUCUGUUUCUACCGCUUGCAAAGUUUGCUUCUAACAACAUCUACUAGACGAGUAUUCAGAUGGAUCCAUAUGAGGCUUUGUGUGGGAGGCGUAGAUCUCCAGUUGGUUGGUUUGAGCUGGGUGAGGUAAGGCUAUUAGGGACAGACUUGGUAUAGGAUUCCUUAGGAAAUGUCAAGGUAAUUUAGAGGAGGCUUCGUACAGUGCAGUCGAGACUGUCGCACCUCAUUUUUCCGCCCCUGCAAGGGCGCAAAUGAGUUUUUCCAAUUAAAGGACAAUCGAACGCGAUUCGUUUAUUUAAUUUAGAGUCGCCACUUGGGAGAUUUAGGGUGUACUAAGUCACCGGUUUAAUCCCGAAUUGAGGAAAAGAAUGAAUCUAUAUUACAGUUUGUAGUACCAGAAAUCCGGACAAGGAAUUCGAUUAACCCGGGAGAAGGUGUUAGGCAUUCCCGAAUUCCGUGGUUCUAGCAUGGUUGCUCAACUGUCAUAUUUAGCUUAUUUAUCUGAUUCCAUAACAUGACUAACUUAUAUGCAAAUUUUAACUUUGAAACGCUUUUAUCAUUUAUUUAUUAUUAAAAGAAUUGCAACGUCAUGAGAAUGCAUCUCAAAUUGUGUCACAUAGAAGUAUCCAAAAUUUUUUAUGUGUUCCGACUUCGUUAAGAUUUGAAUUUGGGUCACAUAAAUGUAUACCUGAGUCCAGGGAGGUAACAUUAUUAAAAUACACACCUAGAGAUGCUAACAAGUUAUUAUUUUUGCGGAGGCCGUGAAGUUCGCUAAACGACAUGUCCCGAAAUCUAUGCAUUUAUAUAUACAUUUAAUAAGGGCCCCGUAGUUGGUAUUUUUGUUUUGGAGAGGUGCGUCUUAUUUCAUUUUGAAAGGAUGUCCUAGAGCGACUACAUUUGUUGUUUCAUUGCGUCUCUAAAAAUGGAAGGAAUGUCCUAUAUUAUUUACAUGCUAGAAUUAUUAGCCUAAGUUAUAAACAUGGUAUCAAUUUUGAAAUGAAAAGGGGGGAAAAAGGGAAGUUCUAUCGUUUUUCGGCCCAGGACAAGCGUGAAUAAUACAGAAAUUGGGCUUGGGCCAUCUUAUAUUGUUUUGGGCCUAAAUUACAUCAUACUGCAUGUUUCGAAUUUUCAAGAUGGUAGAAACAAAAUCAAACAAUAAGGAAAAGAAAAUCUGUUUGCAAGAGUUGAAUGAACAAAUAAUUAAUUAAGCAGGUAAACUACUGAUUACUUAACAAAUUUAAACUUAGCCAUGCAUUUUAAAGGGACUACAGGUGAAACAAAUUGAAAUGACGGAAAACUUACUGCAGUACUGAUCCUAAUCUAACUAGCAUACAUGAGUUUGCUGGUUUUUGAAACAGCCUCUCUAUUAGGUAGGGGUAAGGCUCGUCUACAUAUUACCCUCCCCAGACCCCACUUUGUGGGACUAUACUGGGUAGUUGUUGUUGUUAUACACGAGUUUGCGACUUUAACCUAUUACAAAUUGGACCUAAUCGAUACAUUGCAGUUAAUUACAUGAUUCGAGUGAGUUAAUAAUUAACAUAUAGAUAUUCAGCUUAGAAUAUAAAUUACAGCUAAUAGGUUUCAAGCCUUAAGGUUGAAUUUUUUAUUCAUGCUUCAAGUGUUCCAGUUUACAUUGUGUACCAGGAUAGAAGUUGUGUACCUGGUAAUUAACAAAUCAAAGGAAAAGAGGAAGAUCAGAAAUGAGCAGCAGUAGCACAGCACAUCAACACAGCUUUCAGCAACAAAUUCAGCAACACCAAUGGUAGACCAAUAAUAACACCAAUGGAACAGUGAUGCAAAAAUCCCAGUACCAGAUUUGAAAACCCACAAACAAAUUCCAAUAACCAAUAGAACGGUAGCCCAAUAACUCACCAAACUCCGGAAGAGAACUUAUGAAAACCCAAAAAUAUUUAUAGCAAUCAACAAGUCGAAAGAAAAUGAACCAGAACCAGUGAACAGAAGGACAGUUCUGAUUCUUUUAGGAUUCAAAAGUUAGUUUAUAUUUCACCCUUAAAUUCUGAAAAUCUUAUUGUCAAAAAUUCCCUCUUUGUUUUGAGUUUUGCUCUCUCUAUCUCUCCGAUUGUCUUCCUCAAACUGAAUAUGCUUUUUCUAUUUAAAGACCAAAAUCAGUCAAUUCUUUAUUCAGAUUAUAGCUUUUUCAGCAUGUAUUCCCCAUCCCAUUUGUAUUUCUACCCUUUCAUCAUUAACCCCAUGCUUAUUUUCUGAUUUCCCCACUGAAAAAUUUCAAAAGUAUAUUACCUGAAGUUCCUAUUUAAAAUUCAAAAAGGAGUAUAUUCCCCUGACAGUGACCUUUUUUAUUAUCAAAAGACUUUCCUUUUAUUAAACUAAACAAAUAUGGCCAGGCUAAAUCAGGCGUGCCUGACGGCCCAUAUUAUAUUCACUCAAACGGAUUCAAAUAACAAAUAGAAAAGUGAAUUAAAUGUUUUACUGAAGCAUAUAGACCACCUGAUAAUCACAUGGCUUCUAUUCAAACUUAGCAGUUUAAUUCAGUGAAUUACAUUCAAUUAAUCAGUUAAAACAAAUCCCAGCCUGAUCAAUAAAUGGUAGAAACUGAAUCAAAAAUCAGAAUUGAAGCAAAUAUGAACCAAAAUCAUCAAGUCAUUCCAACAUUCAAAAUUGUAAAAUUAGUCGACGACAUUUAUUAAAUUGACUAUAUAUUACGACAUAUAUAAUCGACGCACAAAUAGUGAUUCACAAUUCUUGGGCAACAAGAGGGUAAAUGUGAAACUAAUCAUUCGACGAUAUUAAUCGAAACGAAUAUGUGUUCUAUAACAAACGCAAUUAACAAACAAUCAGAACAAAAAUCAACCAAAUAAAAGGACUUGAGGAGGAGAACAACAGAGUUGGCAAAAAUGAAAAGGAUAACAGAAUAAAAAAAAAGAACCUAAUAACGAGUAUAAACAUAGAAGAAAUAAAGCAGAAUACCUCGAGAGAAAAAGCAGAGAUCAAAACGGACUUGGACAAAUUGCGGACUUGAACUUUCGAGGUCAAACGGAUUUUAAUUGAAUUGUUCUCAACAAAGAACACCUUAAUUAAAUUCAAUUAGACCCCAAACCUUAAUUAAUCGCAUGGAUUUCCUAAUUUGGUUCUCUAGGGUUCUUGAGGGCUCAAUUUGGGCUUCGAGUGGUUUAAGCUUGAUUCGAACAGGAACAAAGGUGUUUAUGGCAUGAGGGAUGUCACGGGGUUCCAUGGUGUGAGUUUGAGGCUAGUUGGUGUAGGUUUGGGUCCCAUAAACUGAAACACUUGAAGCAUGAAUAAAAAUUCUAAGACAUGAAAAGUAUUCCCUUGUUAUUCUAAGACAUGAAAUGUAUUCCCUUGUUAUACAGGUGGGCGCCUGAUUAUGAAAUGUAUUUCCUUGUUAUGCAGGUGGGCGACUAAUUACUAGAUGUAUUCCCUUGUCAUGCAGGUGGGUGCCUAAUUACUAAGAUAUGAAAUGUAUUCCCUUAUUAUGCAGGUGGGCACCUAAUUGCUAAGACAUGAAAUGUAUUCCCUUAUUAUGCAGGUGGGCACCUAAUUGCUAAGACGUAAAAACUAUUCCAUUGUUAUACAGGUGGGCGCCUAAUUGGUAAAGACGUGAAAAUUAUUCCCUUGCUAUACAGGUGGGCGCCUAAUUGGUAAAGACGUGAAAAGUAUUACCUCAUUAUAAAGGUGAGCGCCUAAUUGCAAAAGACGUGAAAAGUAUUCCCUUGUUAUACAGGUGGACGCCUAAUUAUCUAAAGACAUGAAAAUAUUUGAAUUUGUUUCCUCAUUCCUUCGAGAAAUUUUUUGACAACGGCAGAAAAUUUUCUGCCACAGUUUUGUUGAUCUUACUUGUGGCGUGUCUUUCUGCCACCAUCAACCCUUAUUUUCCUGUAGAAAUCAAAGAAAAUCUUGUUAGUUUAAAACAUGGUGAGUGAUCGUGUCACUCCUUCCGGGGAUGGUUUUUCCUUUCCCUUUUCCUUGCUCUGUGUUGCCAAAACUGGUUGGGGAUAACAUUACUUGCCGGGGAUGAUAUUUCUGUUGGGGAUGGAUUUUCCAUUUAUCCCUUCCCCGCUCUUUUGUUUCAAAACAUGCUGGGGAAGUCUUUUUCAACUCCAAAACUACUCCCUUCAAAAUCUGGGGGUGACAUUAGUGGGGAUAAGACAUCUUGGGUUACUUUGCUGCGGAUGAAUUCUCCCUUUCUCCUUCCCCUUUUCUUGUGUUGUCUAACCACCUUUGAACUUGGUCAGUGAUCCAUCGAAGUUCUGCUGGGGGUCCUCUUGGAACUUGAUCCAUAAGUUCCUCGACCGUUUCUUUCCAGCUUUUCUCCAUAUUUCCCUUAACUUUCUAGGAAAGUUUGACAUUUGGUCUUGCAACAAAUGCCUUAUUCAUCUAAUUGCCAUACCUUUGUCUUGUCCUCUUCCUAUUUAUCUUUGUACCGUUUUGGCAACUGGUAGUAAACUCUGAAAAAUCCUUCUCAAAAUUAAAUUUCUGGAAAAAGUCUUUUUGACACAGAAAUGAAAAGAUAGAAAAGAGAAAAAUCUUUCUGAACAAAUGCUAGGGGAAAAGAAAAGGAAAGAACUUAUCUGGACCGUAUGACUGGUCCAAACGAUCAUGUCGUGCAUUCCGUAUUAAUCGACCCAGUCUAUUUGUAUCAAUCAAUCAUUAUGAUGGCCUCAUUUGCCGGGGAUAAAUAGAUGCCCAACUCUUUGCCAUAUGCGGAUCCUUUUCGCCAAUCGCAUCUUAUAACCUUAUUGUGCCCUUCAAGAGGUUUUCACUAAUAAGAAUAUCUCCUUUCUCUCAGCUCGCGUCACUUUAUGGUUCCUGUAAAGUUUUUCACCAAAAUACUCUCUCAUUUUGUUUCUCUCAGCUUACGUCGCCUUAUGGUGCUUGUGAAGGUUUUCACCGAUAAACUCUCACUUUAGUUUUUUCAGCUGGGGAUCAUAGUGUUACCGAUAAGAUUCUCUCUACUAGGAAUUUUUUUUCCUAUCAAUUUCUUCAGCUUAUGACCCUUGUCCGGUCAGGGAUCAUCAUAUUGCCCUUGGCUUUCAUCUGCCUGACUUGGCACCUCUCAAAUAAUGAUCGGGAGGUGUUUUUUGACAUACGAUGUUGGUUUUGUGUGGGUAAAGAAAAGAAAAGGUUAUCAGGAAAUUAAAUAUAACUUGAUGGGUAAGAGAUUACAACUCUAAGAAUCAAACUUCUUCCAAAAAUUAAAAAAAUAUAACUUCUGCCCCAGUUUUCUUGCUUAGGGAACUUUUGAUUUGCGUGACAUUUUGUCACAUUGCCACCAAGCCAUGAGGCGCCUACGUAUCUUCUUGGAGGAAUCAGGUCAAACGUAGUUCACAUAGACAUAUGUGAUACAACAAGAAUGAAACGUGACAUUUUGUCACACUACGACCGAGCCGUGAGGCGCCUACGUAUCCUUUCUUGAGGAGUCAGGUCAAACGUAGUUCAGGAAUUCCUUUGUUUUUCUUGUGACUUUUCUCUUGUUUUAUAUUCUUUUUUUUGUUUUUUCCUUCUUUUCUUUUCUCCUUCUUUCAUAAUUAAUUUUUUUUUAAUUUUCAUUAAUGAUUCCAAAAGAGGGGUAUGAAAGAAUAAGUAAGGCUCAAAAGGGAAAAGAAAAGGUUGAAAGUGUUUGAAUAGAAGAAAGAAUUGCCUCCGUCAUUUCAUUAUCCAAUACGUACCAAAUACAAACAAAUGAACAAAUAACUAUCAUAGUCAAAGAAAUUACACAUAGUAUCUCUUGACUGCAUCAGAAUUGAUAGCCAUGUCGAUGCAUCUUCCUUCGACAUCUGUCAGACAAAAAGUGCCAUUGGAUAACACUUUGGUCACAAUAUAAGGCCCUUGCCAAUUUGGGGCGAACUUUCCUUUUGCUUCGACCUGACGUGGGAGGAUCCGUUUCAAUACUUGCUGCCCUACUUCAAAUUUUUUUGGGGCGCACCUUCUUAUUGUAUGCUCUUGCCAUCCUCUUCUGAUACAACUGGCCAUGACAUACUGCUGCCAAUCUCUUUUCAUCUUUUGCUGCCCUACUUCAAAUUUUUUGGGGCGCACCUUCUUAUUGUAUGCUAUUUCCAUUCUCUUCUUAUACAACUGGCCAUGACAUACUGCUGCCAUUCUCUUUUCAUCUAUUAAGCUCAACUGCUCCACUCAAGCUUUAACCCAUUCAUCAUUAUCAAUCUUGGCUUUAGAGACUAUCCGGAGGGAUGGAAUUUAGAACUCUGUUGGCAUUACUAAUUCAGUUCCGUAUACCGGCAGAUAAGGAGUUGCACCAACUGAAGUACGAACAGUAGUGCGAUAACAUAACAAUGCAAAGUGUAGUUUUUCGUGCCACCGUCUGGACCCUUCUACCAUCUUUCUCAAAAUCUUCUUUAUGUUCUUGUUGGCUGCCUCAACUGCACCAUUCGCCUUUGGACGAUACGGGGUGGAAUUACGGUGUGUAAUCUUGAACUAUUGACAUACUUCUUUCAUCAAACUGUUGUUAAGAUUAUCACCGUUGUCUGUGAUGAUUACCUUUUGGAUCCCAAAUCUACAGACGAUAUGGGAAUGGACAAAAUCCACCACUGCCUUCCCGGUCACUAACUUGAAAGUCUUGGCCUCUACCCAUUUGGUGAAAUAAUCAAUGGUUACCAGAAUGAACCUAUGACCAUUGGAAGCUGCCAGUUCAAUAGGUCCAAUGACAUCCAUGCCUCAUGCAACAAAUGGCCAAGGUGCUGACAUUGUAUGCAAUUCUGUUGGCGGAGAAUGAAUCAGAUCUCUGUGCACCUGACACUGAUGGCAUUUCCUCACGAAGCUGAUACAAUCAUGCUCCAUACUGAGCCAAUAAUAUCCUGCUCAUGGAAUCUUCUUUUCCAAUACAUAUCCGCUCAUAUGUGGCUCACAAACUUCUGCAUGGACCUCUUUCAUUACUGUCAUGGCUUGACCGGCAUCUAUUCAUCUCAGCAAUCCCAAAUCCAGAGUUCUUUUGUACAACACUCCUCCACUAAGGAAAAACCCAUUUGCCAAUCGCCGAAUGUAUCUCUUUUUAUCUCUGGUUGCCUAUUCUGGGUAUAUCCCCAUUCGGAGGUGUUCCUUAACAUCAUAAAACCAUGGCUCACCAUCAAUUUCUUCCUCUAUCAUGCUACAAUAAGCAUGUUACUCAUGAACCUGAAUAUGCAAUGGGUCAACAUGAACCUUAUCUGGGUGAUGCAACAUUGAUGCUAAGGUGGCCAAUGCAUCAGUAACCUCAUUGUGAACUCUUGGAAUGUUUUUGAACUCCACCGAUCAAAAUCGCUUGCUCAGAUUGUGCAAGCAUUGUCGAUAUGGUAUAAGCUUCAAAUCCCAUAUUUCCCAUUCACCUUGAAUUUGAUAUACCAGGAGGUCUGACUCCCCAAAGACCAAGACGUCCAGGACAUCCAUGUCUGCGGCUAAUCGUAACCCUAAGAUACAGGCCUUAUAUUCAGCCAUGUUGUUGGUACAAUAGAAACGUACUUGAGCCGUAACAAGAUAAUGAUGUCCUGUUUCUGAAACGAGCACUGCUCAUAUUCCAACUCCCUUUGAAUUUGCGACUCCAUCAAAGAAAAGUUUCCCUCCUGGUUCCUCAAUCGAUUCUACCUCAUCCACAUGCAUCACUUCUUAAUCGGGGAAAUACAUCCUCAAGGGUUCAUACUCUUCAUCAACAGGGUUCUCAUCCAAAUGAUCUGCCAACGCUUGGGCCUUCAUGGCCAUCCUCGUCAUAUCGGCGAUGUCGAAUUCUGUGAGUAAUAUAUACCAUUUUGCUAGCCUUCCUGUGGGCAUAGGUGUUUAACCGAAAAAUGCAAUUUGGUCAAAGCUUGAAUUUUAAUAAGAAGAAAUCGGGUUAGUGAUAAUCAACGAGACCGAAAUAUAAUUGGCUUUCAAAGAAUAAGAAUAAAGCAAUAAGAAGUUUGUAUUUCACUAUGAUGUCAAUAAUAUUCUGUGUCCUUAACAAUGAUGAAAAUUCCUCCUUUCAUAGUUGACAAGGAGUAAUGUAUUGAUUUAAAUAAUAAAUAGCAUUUAAUGAGAUGUUACAUAAUCAUUGCUAUUAAAUACUGAUUAACUAACAUAUCAUGUAUUUAAUAAUAACGUAGACCACUUUUUGUCAUCAGAUUCUUGCCUUCAUUACCCUUUUUAUCUGUUGAUAUUAAAUGACUUGAACAUUUAAUAAGAAGUGUAGACUACUUUUUGUCAUCAGAUUCUUGCCUCCAAUGCCCUUUUUAUCCAUUGAUAUUAAAUGACUUGAAUAGGCAUGAGAUUCGUAUCUAAGAUUCUCUCUCGUAUCUGUUUUAUUUCCUUCACCCGUGCCUGUUAUCUUUCGUGCCUUUUAAUCAUUAAUGGUCCUUUGACUGUUUGACAAAUCCACGUGUCACGCCACGUCAUCUUCAAUUUAAAUUCAGUUUUCCCCAAUAUAGAUAGUCCCCCACUUCUCAUUUAUUUAUAUAUUAAAUAAUUUGGAAGUGGAUCCUGAAAAAGAAUUUUUGUCACAAUUAAUGCUUGUGUCAGUAUCGACGUCUCAUCUGUCUUUCACAUUUAAUACUCUACAUACGUGUCAACCUCUGAUUGGAUCUGCAGUUUUGUACCCUAUUUUCUAGGCCUGUUCAACUUCCUCAUCAUUGCUCCCCUUAAUUUGGACGGUUGUUCCCAUAUAAACUUUUAAUUCACACUUUCUUUGCCUUCUUAUUCACCAAUUUCCAUCAAGCAUUCACAUUUCCUCUAUUUCUUUUACUUCUACAUACCUCAAGAUUAUCCAACAAUGACAUGUCCAAACCCUAACCCCAAAAAGGUUUUACAUCUCAAUCAAUUCCCUAGUGCACCUAAACCUAUCAAACAUUCAAGAGGUAGAGGAGGACGAUUCCGCAGUAUGGGAUCUACACGUGGAGGUUCAACUGGUUCUGUACCUCCUUCUUUUGGUUUUGGAAUCAAAGGUUCUUCUUCCUAAACUCAAUCUUUGAAAGGUAAAGAAAUUUCAGACCCUUCUACAGAACCCAAACUUGAAGAAAUUAUACCAAAUGAUUUAUCUUUUGCAAGUGAUAAAGCAUACCUUCAAAAACAAAUUGCAAAAUUGGAAAAGACUGAUCAUUAUCCUUCUCUUAUAACUGAACUCACAAUCCCCACCAUUAAGAAAGAUUGCAACUGGAAAGAGAGUGUUUGUUUAUCAGUCCCCUCAAUAAACCAUAGAAUUUCUUCUUAUAGAAAUGGGUUUUCCUAUGUUUAUACUUACCCCUUCACUUUGGGGUUUAAACUUUCCAUAGAUCUAGUUAUCCUCGAUUUUCGUAAAUUUUUCAACAUUUGCUUAGCCCAAAUUGGACCCUUAGUUUGGAGAGCUGUAGCUUGUUUGAGAUUCUUGUCUUCUAAGGCAAAAAUUAAUUUUACCUUUUCCCAUCUUAUCCAUUUAUACCACCCCAGUUAAAUGCGCCAUGGGGUUGUUUUACCUAAACUACAAGAAGUAAGAGAGUUUUGGUAAAUGCCAAUGACGAUAAGGAUCGUGGGUGGUAUCUGCGUUACAUUGCUGUUUGUACAAUGGAUUUGCUGGUAGAAUCAAAUAUUCCCUUCCCUGAGAAGUGAAAUUUUGCACGUAAGUUUUUACUUACCUUCCCGUAUCUAUUUUCCAAGAUUUUGAUUUUAUCUUUAAACUUAUCCCUUUUUUGGUUUUUUUGUAGCAACCAUGGGGGAUGUAGAACAUACUCCCAACUUCCAUGGUUGGGUAGAUUCAAUUCUGAAAAUUGCUUCUAAGGAAGAUAGGACUUGGAAAAACCAUGGGGGAUGUAGAACCUAUUCCCAACUUCCGUGGUUGGGUAGAUUUGAUUCUGAAAAUUGCUUCUAAGGAAGAUAGAACUUGGAAGUCUAUUUCUUCCUUGCAUGGGUGGAUUGUAAAAACACACGGUAUGUAUCUCCUUUUGUGUAUAUUUUUCAAGUACAAAUAUAGAAUAAUAAAUCCAAAUCUUUCUUUUUAUGAGGAUUUGGAAUAAAAGGGAUGCCGCUUUGGCUAUGCGCACUACUGCUAACACCUCCCUUGGUUUGGACAAGGCAAAAGCACUUUUAGCCAAAAUAAAAGCCAUGGCAAUGGAAGAUGAGAACGAAGAAGAAGAUAUACCUCUUUGGUAUCUAGACCAAGGGCUAGGAGACGUGUUGCUAUGGAUGAAAAAAUUGAAGAUUCUCCUGCUCUUACCUCUUCUGAAAUUACUUCUUCUCCAGUUACAUCCAUUACCGAGACCGUUUUAAUCCAAUCCAAUGAAGAUAUUUGCACCUAGAGACAUGAGUGAAUCUGUUCACACUCUCCUCGAGAGUGGUUUUGAAAGUGGGGAACUUGGCCCCGUUCUUAAUGAAAUUCUCUUAUCUACUUUAAUUUCUAUUUCUCCUUCAACCGUACCUGUUUCUUUCCCUUUGGCAUCUUCCACUGUUCUUACAACUUCUUCUCCCGUUCCUUUUUAGCCCCCGUGCCUAUUCCUUCAGCUCCUGCUUUGGCUUCUGCUGCUCCUAUUGUUUUCACUUCUUCUACUACUCCUCCUUACACUAUUCCUUUUUCAAAUGUUCCUCGUUCCGAAUCUGGCCCAAAUAACAGAGGUUGGUCUAUGAGAAAGGUUACACUUGAAGUACCUGCUACUCAUAGUCUAUUAAGGAAGACUGGUGGAGCGGAUGUCUGGCUCGAGCCUCUUAUUGGAGAUGUGGAGAGAACAAAGAUGCAGAGCCACAACUAAUAUACUUUGAUGAAUGACGUAGUUCAUUAAACACCGAAGGUAACUUCCUUACUCAUGAUUAAUUACUUUCCCUUGACUUUAUGUUCUUAUUUUAUGCCUUAUGUUUGUAGGCAAACUUGAUAGGAACUGAAUUGAUGGGGAGGAUCUCUAUUUUAGAGACAAUGGCACGUGAAUCUGCUAAAGCUACUCAUGAUGCUAAAAUAAUAUUUGAAGAAGCACAGUUUGAGGCUCAAAAUUGGAAGGAACAAUUGGAAGGUGCUUUAAGAAGCAUGGAAGAGUUGCAGUCUACUAAAUUUCAACUAUAACAGCAAAUUCGAGCUUUAUUCUCCGAAUUAGGGAUUGCCACGGCUUCUACGAGCCAAGUAAAAAAGGAUGAAGAGAUUUUGAAGGAUUUUUGUCAAAGGCUAAUGAAGAAAUAAAAGAACUCAAAGCACUAAUGGAGAAAAAAGAAGAAUAUAGCAAGGAACUAGUGCAAACUUUGAACUAGACUAGGGCUGAUUUGAGAAUUUCUUCAGAUAAGGUUCGUGUGUUGGAGAGUUCAUGCGUCAAUCUUCAAACUUCCCUUAACUCCCACUUCGCUGAGCAAGACACAGUGAAGAAUACCUUAGCUAUAUGGGGAAGGGAUUAUGAAAACCUGGAGAAGGAUUACAAUUCUUUCGCAGAGAAUUUCAAUUACAAGGUUUAUUGGGCUUUCUUGAAAUCUCAUCGUGAUGCUUUAGUGAAGGCUUCAUAAGAAAAUUUUGACUUGCAAUAUGAGUUAGCCAAAGUUUUAGACAUUAUCUAGAAGAAUGAGGAACCUAUUGAAUUCCUUCUCCUGAUUAGGUAAUUGACAUCUCCUCUCCUACAGUUGGAACUCCCGGAGUUGAAGAGCCUUUGAACUUAGAGUCAACAGCUGAAAUUGUUGAAGUUACAAUUCGAGUGACCGAGGGUAAUUUAUCUAUAGCACAAUCUUUGGUAAUGGAAAUCCCCAUGUCUACUGCUUCUCUCGAUAAUGUUGAUACUUCAACUUCAGUUGAGAAUGCUUCUGUUGCUGCUCCUUUAGAAGUUAUUAUCAAGCCUAAGGAGGCUGCGACUUCUAAUGUUCCAAUUUCCUCAGUGACCAGUGAAAAUGCUUAAUCUUACCUUUUUUUUGUUUGUUUUUGAUGAUGUAAUUUCUUAGUGAAGUCCCCAGUUUCUAUAAUGGGGAAUCUUUUUCGAAAAACAAAUGCAUUGUAAUUGUUAAGUUUUUCCCUUAGCUUUUUAUGCUGAAAAGUUUGUAUAAUACUUCUUUAUUUUAUCCUUGUCUUUGUUCUAGACUUUACAGAAUAACUUUAUAUUUACCUUAGUCUUGCCUUUUUUAGGACUUAGAGAAUAAGUUAGCAUCUUUAUCCUUUCAGAAAAUGCUUUCAAUUGCCUAUUUUCUUUUUAGGACUUAGAGAAUAAGUUAGCAUCUUUAUCCUUUCAGAAAAUGCCUUCAUAAUCCUUCUCACGUGUUAUCGCCAUGAGGAAAAGAAAAGAGGGCGCAUUUAUUUAUUGACACUUAAUGAAGAAGACGUCUCAACUUCAUAAUGGUGUUUACCAUACGAUGAAAGAAAUAGGAACAUACAUGUUUCAUAUAAAACAACUUUUGUAAUGUUUUUAUUCAUGAACUUUGAUAAGUUUCUUGAGUAUUACAUGUAUUGAAGCAUAUCUAAACUUUCUCGCAACUGUUUUCAUUUAAAUGAACUUUGAUAAGUUUCUUGAGUAUUACAUGUAUUGAAGCAUAUCUAAACUUUCUCGCAACUGUUUUCUUUUAACAGAUUUAUAAAAUAUACAAGGUUUUUCAUAACCUAUUUACACAGUCAUGUCCCUGCCUUUACAUACUUAGGAAGGGUUUAAGCAGCGAUUGGAUUGAUACAUGACUUCUCAUAACUUGAUUUGAUUUUUAAUUCUUGAAUCUUGCUCUCUCGUAUCUAUUUUUCUGCCCAUAAUCGUGUGUAUAUAGUAUAGUCUCCCAAGUGUUUGAGCGGUGAAGUAUGAAGCCCUGAACACUUGUGUAUUUGCACCCAAUUUUUGGUCCUUUUCCUGAAACAGAAAAAUAUACGGGACUCGGAGGUGCAAUUAUAGAAGAAGACUGCCUAACUCGUGUGUAUUUCCAUCUGAUUAAUGUAACCCUGGGCUAGGAAUUUAAGAGUAUUCCAAUUUGAUGUGCAGGCCGUGACUCAUCAUUUGGCACGAGUUAGGGUUUUUUCCUAGCAUCUAAAAAAUCGUUAGUAUAAUUUUAACAAUUCAAAGGAAAAAAAAAAUUAACAUGGCGAUACCUGACUGUGGGUACUUCCCUAGAAGUAAUACCUCUUUAAAUGAACAAGAUUCAAUGUGAAGGUAGAACCUUGCCAUCCACUGUCUCUAGCUCGUAUGCUCCUUUCCCCACAAUUUCACGAAUUCGAUAAGUUCCUUCCCACGUUGGACUUAGCUUUCCUGAAUUAGUUGACUUCGUAGAUUGGAAAACUUUUCCAACACGAAUUCCCCAAUUCUGUGACUUGAGAUCCUAUUAACCGUGAUCCAUUAUCACGCACUAUCUCCUUUGCAACACCAAAGCGACAAGUUAUAUUCCUCCAAAUGAAGUCCUUAACUUCUUUCUCUCGUACAUAUUUAAAUGUUCCUGCGUCUACCCAUUUAGUGAAAAAAUCAAUUACUAUGAGUAGAAACUUUACCUGACCUUUUGCAUGGGGUAAUGGUCCUACGAUGUCCAUUCCCAAUUUCAUAAAGGGCCAUGGAUCUAUGAUAUGAUGUUAUAACUCAGCUGGUCUAUGCAUGUUAUUCCCAUAACUUUGACACUUAUUGUCACACUUAGAUACAAAGUCAUUCGCUUCUUCUUCCAUUUUAGGACAGUAAUAUCCUGCUCGAAUCAAUGUCUUUAUAAGUGAUCUGCCUCAUGCAUGGUUCCCACAAUGUCCUUCGUGUACUUCUCUCAUCACGUAUUCUGUUUGAGAAGGUCUGAGACACCUGGCUAAUGGUCCACCAAACAUUUUACGGUACAGGUUUCCUUGAUAUAGGCAAUAACGAGCAUCUUUCUUUCUUAGUGCAUGAGACUUCACCUUGUCUUCAGGUACAAUUCCGUGCUGCAAAAAAGACACAAUUUCGUUUCUCCAGUCUCAAAUUAAAUGAUUAAAGUUUACAUCUUUUUUAUCAGGGUGAAGAACGGAGUGGAAAAAAUGUAUGAUUGAAGCAUUCCCAUCUUUCACUAUAUCUACUGCAGAUGCGAGAUUGGCCAAAGCAUCCGCUUCCAAAUUUUCUUCUCUUGGAAUUUGUAUCACUUUCCAAGUUUGGAACUGUCUUAUUAAUUCCCAUACCUUUGCGAGAUACUCUUGCAUUCGAGUUUCUCUAGCCAUGUAAGUCCCCAACAUUUGAUUUACUACGAGCUAUGAGUCGCUUUUGAUUACGAUUUCAUGAUACCCUGUUCUAAUGCUAGCUCUAAACCCGCAAUCACAGCUUCAUACUCUGCUUCGUUAUUAGUUAUAGGGUGUCAUUUUAUAGCAUGCCUAAUUGUUUCACCUGUAGGUGGUAUAAGAACAAUUUCUAAACCUGCACCCAUUACAUUAGAUGAUCCAUCAGUAAAAAAGCCAAGUCCUCGGAUUAGCACCAUUAAAAACUUUAAAUUCUUUUUCUGCUUCUAAAUGCAUGCUUUGACUAAAAUCAGCUACGAUAUCGGCGAGUACUUGGGAUUUAAUAGCAGUUCGAGGUUGAUAAAUUAUUUCGUAUUCAUUUAGUUCUAUAGCCCAUUUUGCUAAUUUCCCUGAUAGGUCAUGUUUAUGCAAGAUACUUCGUAAAGGGAAAGUAAUUACAAGAACAAUAUGAUGUCAUUGGAAAUAAGGUCGUAGUUUUCUAGAUGCCAUGAUGAGAGCUAAUGGUAAUUUUUCUAGUUGUGGGUACCUUGUCUCUGCAUCUAAUAAAGUUUUACUCACAUAAUAAAUUGGAGAUUUCUUACCUUGGUCUUCACGAACUAAGACUGCACUUACGCUACUUCUGAAACUGCUAAAUAAAUUACUAACUUCUCACCUUCCUUAGGUUUCGCCAGUAAAGGAGGAUUUAAUAAAUACACUUUCAAAUCUCUCAAUUCUUGUUGACAAUCUUCAUUUCACUCGAAAUGAUCUUUCUUUUUGAGUGUAGAGAAAUAUUUGAAGCAUUUUUAUGAAGAUUUUGAAAUAAAUCUACCCAAGGCCCCUAUCCUUCCUGUUAAUCUCUAAACUUCUUUUUUAUUGGUAAGGACAUUAGGUAUUUCUUCAAUUGCUUUAAUAUGGGAAGGAUUUACCUCAAUACCACGGUUAGAAAUAAUAAAACCUAAAACUUUACCUGAAACAACUCCAAAUGCACAUUUUUCAGGAUUGAGUUUCAUAUUAAAUUUUCGCAAGAUUUCAAAGGUAACAGUUAAUUGGGAAAUAUGGUCAUGGGAAUGCUAGGUUUUGACGAGCAUAUCGUCUAUACAUACCUCCAUUUUUUUUCAUAAAUGUUCUUCAAACAUUUUGGUGACUAACCUUUGAUAGGUUGCUCCCGCAUUUUUUAGACCGAAGGGCAUUACUUUGUAACAGCAAGUCCCCUGGUCUGUGAUGAAAGAAGUCUUUCCUCAUCACCGGGGUUCAUUUUAAUUUGGUUGUACCCCGAAUAUGCAUCUAAAAAACUUAAAAGUUCAUGACCUGCACUUUCAUCAAUCAAUUGAUCUAUGUAGGGUAAAGGAAAAGAAUCAGUUGGGAAAGCUUUGUUUACAUCAGUGUAAUCUACACAAACUCGCCACUUACCAUUCUUCUUAGGUACGACCACCGUAUUAUCUAACCAAUCAGGGUAUUGUACCUCACGAAUGGAUCCGAUUUUUAAUAACUUUUGCAUCUCAUCUUGAAUUACUUAAUUUUUGAAAGCCCCUUGCUUUCUUUUAUUUUUCUUGAUUGCAGUAAAAGAUGGGUCUUCGUUAAGCUUAUGAUUCAUCACAUCCGGUGGAAUACCUGUCAUAUCAGCAUGGGACCAGGCAAAACAAUACACGUUAGCUUUUAAAAAUUCAAUUAAUUUACCUCGUAUGUCGGUAUUUUGAUUGGCUCAUAAGUAAACAUUUUUCUCUGGCCAUUGUUCAAAUAACAAUACAACGUCGAGUUCUUCUAUUGUUUUUUUGAUGUUCUCGUUUUCUUCAGUUUCUAUAAUUACGUUAGGACUCGAAUCUAAAUCCAUUUUUUCAGUUGAAGUUUGAUUGCUGACACCUUCAACUAUUUCACGUAAUUGCAAUUUCUGUUUACUCGCGGUACUUGUAUCUGCUAUUACGUUGAUACAUUUGGCUAUUUGUUGAUCCCCUCGAAUUUGACAUAUUUCCCAGGGUGAUGGAAAUUUAAUGCAUUUAUGUAAGGUUGAUGGAACAACAUCCAUAUUAUGGAUCCAUGGUCUCAGCAUAAUUAUAUUGUAUGCCAUUUCCAUGUCAACUACCUGAAACUUAGUUUAUUUAAUAACACCUGCAGAAUAAGUCGUCAGAAUUACCUCACCUUUUGUUACCACACUUGAAUUGUCGAAGCACGACAAAGCGUGCGCCUUUGGUAUCAUUCUAUCUUCAGCUUGCAUUUCCCGUAGCACUGUUAGUAGAAUGAUAUUUACAGAACUACCUGGAUCAAUCAAAACUCUUUUUACAUCAGUGUCAUGUAUAAUUAAAGAUAUUGCCAGAGCGUCGUUAUGAGGGAUAGCCACUCCUUCCGUAUCUGCAUCAUCGAAUCUUAUACUUCAUGUUCUAAUGUUUUCCGUAAUCGCUUGUCGUGCGUGAUUGUCAUUUUGGAAACUUUUUUUGAAGCUGUGUCAUAUCUGCAUAAUCGAAGCUUAUACUGUCAUGUUCUAAGGUUUGCCGUACUCGCUCGCCAUGUGUGAUUGUCAUUUUGGAAACUAUGUUUGAAGCCUUGUAUGUUACUUCGUAUAUAUCUUCCCCUCCACUGAUGACAUUUGCUACCCUCUUAGGUGAAGGUGGUUUCGGUGGCUCUUGCCUAUUUUUCAUGUAGGUUUGCUUUCCUUUUUCACUGAACAGCUCCGUGAGAUAUCCUUGUUUCAAUAAAUGAUCUACUUCACUCUGUAGAAAUCUGCUUUGUGAGGUUUUAUGUCCAUGGUCAUUGUGAAAUUCACACCAAUGGCCUGGGCUACGUCUGUUUGGAUUUGACCGCAUCUCUUUUGGCCACCGUACCUUAUCUCCCAUACUCUUUAGAAUAGCUACGAUCUUGGAAUUAGUUACAUUGAAACUGUGACAAGAAAACUCGUGUCAUUUAAUUUCUAUCAUCAUCUCAUGGCUCUUAGUUAUUUCAAUCAUCUUUGAACCUGGAUUAAGAUCCGGUUCCCCUGUCUCUCGCCCUUUGAUUAUAAUGUUGAUUGUUCUGUCUAGAACACAGGUCUUUUCCUCCAGGUCCCAUAUAUGGAUCGUACCUGUUCUUACCUGACCAUUUUUCGGAUUCAGAUCUUCUGGACCCGCCUCUAUCUUCUCUUUGAUGUUGAUAUAAGGUAUCUUCUUCAAUUCUGAGCUUCAUAAUGUACCUGUUAUAAACAUCGUUCCAAUUAGUUGCGGGAAAUUCACGAAGGCUUUCUUUAUGUCUUCUCGUGGCUUCUGAACUUUUGUCAUUCAAAUUACUUGCAAAAGCUAUUGCUGCCCAAUNNNNNNNNNNNNNNNNNNNNNNNNNNNNNNNNNNNNNNNNNNNNNNNNNNNNNNNNNNNNNNNNNNNNNNNNNNNNNUCAUUCAAAUUACUUGCAAAAGCUACUGCUGCCCAAUUAUCCAGUACACGGGGCAACAUCAUUCUUUCACGUUGGAAUAUAUCAAUGAAAUCUCAGAGCAAUUCAGAGUUCCCUUGCUUGAUUUUAAAGAUAUCCUCCAUUCUCUUUUCAACCUCCUGAGCUCCCGAGUGUGCUUUUAUAAAAGAAUCUAUAAGCUCAACAAAAGAAUUUAUUGAAUUUUCAGGUAAAAGAGAAUACCAGGUUAAUGCACCCCUGGUGAGCGUCUGCCCAAACAUUUUUACCAACACCGACUCAAUUUCUUAUUUGGUCAAAUCGUUGCCUUUCGCUCCUGUUGUAAAUGCAGUUACAUGGUCACGAGGGUCCGUUGUACCAUCAUAUUUCAGAAUGUCAGGCAUUUUAAAUUUCUUUGGAAUUGGUAGAGGAGCAGCACUUUGUUUCCACGGUUGUUGCGAGUAUUUAUCCACAUCCACUCCUUUUAUCACAUGUGGAACUCAAGGGAUAUUCUCAAUACGCUCGUUCUGCUCCUUGAGUUGUUUCCACAAGGUUAGUACCAAAUUUUGAAGAUAAGAAUUACCUGUAUUACCUGGUUUUCCCUCUUGCGAGUCACUGGGAGUUAUUCCAUUGCCAGAAUUAACUAGACCAGAGCGAGGGAUUUCCAACGUGUUGUUGUUUGGCGUUGCUGGUGCAGCAGGCAAUCGACUAACUAAAGCUUGCAAGGAUCUAUCAAUUCGUGAGUCGAUUAUUUUCUGUAAAAGUUCAUCUUUUGUUUCAGCUUCUCCGUCAACAUGCUCAGACAUAUCAUUUGGAGUUCCUUCACGAGAUGCACGUGGAGAAGCUUGAGGGAUAGCGUUGUUAAGUUCAUCAUCAUCAACUUGAUGGUUCUGAUUGCCUUGGUUAUUGCUGUCAUUGUUGUUCGACAUAUCGAUAAUAUUAUCAGAUUCGCGGUAAUGGAACCAAUUUGUUUAACCAACAAAUGUGAUUUGGUCAAAGCUUGAAUUUUAAAGAGAAGAAAUUGGGUUAUUGAUAAUCAAAGAGACCGAAAUAUAAUUGGCUUUCAAAGAAUAAUAAUAAAGCAAUAAGAAGUUUGUAUUUCACUAUGAUGUCAAGAAUAUUCUGUGUCCUUGCAAAUGAUGAAACUUCCUCCUUUUAUAGUUGAAAAAGAGUAACAUAUUGAUCAAAUUAAUAAAUAGCAUUUAAUGAGACGUUACAUAAUCAUUGCUAUUAAAUACUGAUUAGCUAACGUAUCAGGCAUUUAAUAAUGAACGUAGACUACUUUUUUUCAUCAGAUUCUUGCCUCCAUUGCCCUUUUUAUCCUUUGAUAUUAAAUGACUUGAAUAGGCACGAGAUUCGUAUCUAAGAUUCUCUCUCGUGUCUAUUUCAUUUCUUUCACCCGUGCCUGUUAUCUUCCGCGCCUUUUAAUCAUUCAUUAUCCUUUGACUGUUUGACCAAUCCACGUAUCACGCCACAUUAUCUUCAACCUGUUGUCUUCUGUGCCUUUUAAUAAUUUAUGGUCCUUUGACUAUUUGACCAAUCCACAUGUCACGCCAGGUCAUCUAAAAUAUAAAUUCAAUUUUCCCCAACACAAUAGGAUUUUGGAAGAUAUACUUCAAUGGAUCCUAGCGUGAAAUGAGAUAAGUCAUAUACGAUGACAGGUAGUGUUUCAACUUUUGUGCUACCCAAUUAAAAGCGCAACAGGUCUUUUCAAGUUGAGUAUACUUAAACUCAUAUAAUGUAAUCUUGGUUAGAUAAUAAAUGGCUUGUUCCUUCCUCCCUGUACUGUCGUAUUUCCCUAAUACGCAACCAAACGAAUUCUCCAGUACAGUCAUAUAGAGAAUCACUGGUCUUCCGGGUUCAGGUGGAACCAACACGGGUGGAUUUGACAGGUACCCCUUGAUUUUGUCAAAUGCUUCUUGACAUUCCGCCGUCCAUUCUACCGCAGCAUCUUUCUUCAGCAGCCGAAAUAUGGGCUCACAAGUCGCUGUGAGUUGAGCGAUGAACCUGCUGAUAUAAUUUAAUCUUCCCAAAAGACUCAUCACAUCUGUUUUGUGGUUCGGUGGUGGUAAAUCUUGGAUGGAUUUGAUCCUAGAUGGGUCCAACUCAAUACCUAGUCGACUGACGAUGAAUCUUAGUAGCUUUCCUGAUGGAACCCCAAAGGCACAUUUGGCCGGCUUGAGCUGAUUAUUAUACCUUAGAAGUCUUUGAAAGAACUUCCUUAGGUCUGCUACAUGGUAUUCUUGACGCCAGGACUUCAUAAUCACAUCAUCCACGUACACUUCAAUCUCUUUGUGUAUCAUGUUAUGAAACACAGUAGUCAUUGCUCUUAUAUACGUUGCCCCACCAUUCUUCAAAUCGAAUGACAUUACCCGGUAGAUGUAAGUUCCCCAGCCGUCUUUUCUGCAUCUUUUUCAUCCAUUAAGAUUUGAUGAUGUCCUGUAGAGCAGUCCACAAAGGAUCCGAUCUCGCGCCCGAUGCAAUUAUCGAUCAAGAUAUGGAUAUUGGGCAAUGGAAAAUUAUCCUUAGGGAUUGCUUGUUGAGAUUGCGGUAGUCUAUACAUACCCUGAUCUUUCCAUCUUUCUUCGGCACUGGUACAACAUUGGCCAACCAACCGGGAUAUCGAGUGACCCGAAUAACUUUUGCCUACAGCUGCUUGGUCAGUUCUUCUUUGAUCUUCACACUCAAAUCUGUACAAUUAAGUCGGAGUCAGAUUGAUUGUUUAGACUAGGUCGAAGAUCCGUUGUGCAUGCUAUGUCAUUAGGACUAGUAAAAAGAGAACUGUUCAGAAAGAAAAAGAAGAAACAAAAAUUAAAACAUGAAAAGAAAAGGAAACUUUCAUUUUUAUUAAAAUGUAGAAUAACAGAGUUUCACACUUUACUGGAUACAAAUAAAACCAAAACUGGAUUACAACUCUGGAAUAAUCUAGGAAACAAGAAAGAAAAUCCAGAGCCUACUACCAAGACUCCCUUCGAUUAGGAAAAGGAGUAGCCGUCCAGUUGUUGAUACUAGCCUUAGGCCCCACAAAUUGUAUGUCCGCCCUGCUGGAACCCUUUCAAACUUCUAUCACAUGGACAUCAGCGAACAUCCUUUCGAAGCUCUGAUUUAAAUCCCAGUCCAUCCCAAUCAGUGGUUCGAGAAUUUUUGGGAACGAUGACCUCUUUGUACUUGCUUUAACAAAGGAUCUGGAAAGGCGUGGAACUGGCUUGGGAAGAACCCAAACUCUCUUCUUCAUUUUCCGCACUCGCUUUAUAUCUGCCGCAGUAGGUUUGAAUCCCAAUCCAAAGGUCUCUAAAUUCUUGGGCAAGGAGACAGGUUGAACAAUACACUGAAGCUCAGCCCCCUGACCUUUUGCUGGCACAAACCCAUUACCCAGCAUCUUUGAAGCCGUCAUGAUAGUUGCGGAAGCUAUCCUGGGGAGUGGGAGGUCCUCACCUUCAGAAAUUUUAUCCACUGAAAACCUGGAAAUCUCGGCCUGUAGACCUUUUCCUGGCACGAAUCCAUUGCCCAGCAUCUCCGAGACCAUCAUGACGGUUGCGGGGCUACCAUGGGAAGCGGGAAGUCUUCUUCUUCAGAAAGUUUAUUUACUAAAACCCCAUCGAAAACUUGGUACACCCAUGGCCCUUCAUCGUCAUCAGUCUUUAUGAACGACACAAUAUCAUCACCUCCAAUGCGUGUACCGUCGUCCUCGUGCAGCACUAUCUCCUGCCUAUCCCAUUCAAAUUUCACCAUCUGGUGUAAUGUAGAAGGUACUGCUUUGGCAGCAUGGAUCCAAGGUCGCCCAAGUAGAAGAUUGUAUGAUACUGCCAUAUCAACCACUUGGAAUUCCAUGGUGAAUUCUACUGGAUCAAUGGUCAAUUCCAGAGUGAUACCGCCACAUCAACCACUUGAACUCCAUUGUGAAUUCUACUGGACAUAUGGAUAUAUUCCAGUAUGAUGUCACCUACCCUGUUGGUACCACCUCCAUCGAAACCUCGGACACAGACGUUGUUCUUGUGAAUCCGGUCAUGAUCAAUUUUCAUCAUGUUCAAAGUAGCCAAAGUACAGAUAUUGGCACUCGACCCAUUAUCAACCAAUACUCGGUGACCACCAAGUCUUUACAUUUCACGGUCAAAUACAAGGCUUUGUUGUGUUCUGUACCCUCUGUUGGUAACUCAUCAUCUGAAAAUCUCACCCGGUUUACUUCGACGAUUUUGUGCACUAUCUUCUCCAAGUGAUUUAAAGAACGUUUGUAGGAAGUAGUCCACCAUUUCCCCCUCUCUCAUGGGAGGACCAACCCUGGCUGCUUGUUCUCUCAAGCGGAAACCGAAUUCACGGAAGCUUUCUCUGGGUUUCUUCCCUAUCCUCAGCAAUGUGAGACUGUCAGGGACUAUCUCGAGAUUAUAUUGGAACUGACCUGCGAAAGCCUACGCUAGAUCAUCCCAGCGGUACCACUUGGUGGGAUCUUGUCUUGUGUACCAUUAAAGUGCAGAUCCACUUAAGCUUUGGCCAGAAUAAGCUAUCAGUAGCUCAUCUUUGCCACCCGCCCCUCUCAUUUUGCUACAAAAGCCACGUAAAUGUGCCAUAGGAUUGUCGUGCCCCUCGUAUAAAUCAAACUUGGGCAUCUUGAACCCUGAUGGUAAUUGGACGUCAGGGAAAGGGCAUAGACCUUUGUACGCCAGGCUGACCUGAUUACCAUAGGAUCACCGUGCCCCUCGUAUAAGUCAAAUUUGGGCAUCUUGAACCCUGCUGGUAACUGGACAUCAGAAAAAUGGCAUAGAUAUUUGUAGGCCAAACUGACCUGAUUGCCCAACCCAUGCAUGCUCCUGAAGGUUUGCUCUAGGCUUUUGUACUUCCUCAUUACCUCAUCUUGUUCCGGGACCUUCGCCGGCUUUUCAGUCUCUGCCGGGAUUUCCAAGUGGGGAUUAUGGGUAUGAGGUUCUGGUGCAUUAAAUGUGGGUUCAAGUGGAUAAUAUUGAGCAUUAUGAGGCUGAAACAACGGCACACUAGUUGAUCUUUGCAGCGUGGCUGGUGGGGGUCCCAUAAAAAUAGUAAUGCUUGGUGGUGGAAAGUGUUGAUUGGGAAGUGGAUCUUGGGUAUCAUAGGUGCUUCUCCCCUGAUAAUUAUGAUGAUACAAUAUGCUUUUUGAAAGGCCAGGGUGAGGGUAUUCUGGCUUAUGCCCUAAUGUAGGAUUAAUAUGUGGUUUAGGGCUCUUCUGCACUUUGGCCAAGGCUAACUGCAUCGCAUUCAUUUCCAACCCUUUCAUUUCUAUCUUCUCCAAUGCCUCCUUCAGCAAUUGGCUUACUGGCCUCUCUUCCUCGACGAUGUGUUCUAAAGUAGUCAUGCUUAUUGGUUGAGGUCCUUUAGAUCUGGUUUGAUAGUGAUAUAAUGCCACAAUGCUUUAACAACUAACUGUAUGAUAUUUGGAAAACAACAAACUUGUGUACGGUAGAGUUAAACAUAUAUGGUAAUCCCACAUUACGGAUGCAAUGUUCCUAUGCACUGAACCACUUCUAUCAUGUUUUUGCUCCAACCGCAUGCAUCAUCCCGACUUGUUUUAUUUUCCUUUAAAGUGUUUAGGGAACCUUCACUUUCCUCUCUUUUAUUUUCUUUUCUUUUAUCAUCCCUUUCUUCUUUUUUUUAGUGGUGGUCAAAUCUUAUGCGGAUUGCCUUCGUAUCACAUCCCUGCGUGAAUCAGACAGGGCGGAGUUCUGCCAAUAAAAUAUAAACAACAAUGAAACUUUUUUUUUAAAAUUUUCAUUAAUACCGAAAAUAUACAAGGUAGAUCUCUAGUAGUAGCAUUGACUUGCUACUACUCCUUUACAUCACAAUCAAUCUAUAAUAAAUACCUAACUACUCUUUCACUAAUUGCAAUUUAGUAUAGUAGCUAGCUAUUACAAACUAUAUCUAUGGAAAACUGUUAAUUUGCCGCAAGCCAUUUUGCCAUUGACUACAAUUCCUACCUCGAAUAUGAAUAUCAUGGAAAACUGUUAAUUUGCCGCAAGCCAUUUUGCCAUCGACUAUAAUUCCUGCCUCGAGUAUGAAUAUGUAAAACAAUUUCACUGCAAAUCUGAUUCUCCUCAUAGGCUUUCUUUUCAAAUAUGAUGUUGUUUCUCUCCCUCCAGAUUAGUACAACGGUACUGGUAAACACACAAGCUAAUAUAGCAUUGAUCCCCACUCUGCUUUUUUGCUUUACUACUUAUCCAUUUCAAUUCAGUUGCCCAGUCUCCAACAGUUCUUUGAUGCCCCAGCCAUAAAUAGAGUCUAGACAACAGAUUCUUUGUGAUUGAACAGUCAAAAAAUAAGUGGUUAAAUGAUUCUACACUCUGUUUACAGAAAACACAUGUUACAGGCACUUGAAUGCCAAUUUUCUGCAAUCUGUCCACUGUUGGUAGCCUCUGUUGUGCAGCUAACCACAUAGUGAAACUAUGCCUAGGAUGAACAUUGGCAAGCAACAUCAAACUCUUCCAUUCAAUCAUAGGCAUGUAGUGACAUAUAGUAAACUUCUUGGAGUCUAACGGUAUCCCCGGAUAUUUAAAUGGCAGUUCUCCUUCAGUAAAACCCAGUGUCUCCAGAAUUUCCUCUCUGACAUUCUGCUUUAUUCCAGCCAUGUAUAUUGCACUCUUGUUAACAUUUUGUUUGCAAACCAGAUGCUUUAGAGAAUCUGUGGAAAGCCUCCUUUAAAAUUUUAAUAGAAACAAAGUCAGCUCUGCACAACAUUAAUAAAUCAUCAACAAAGCAUACAUGAAUAUUAUUAAGCUUUCUGCAUUAAGGAUGAAAAUUGAAAUCACCAUUCUUAUGCAGCUGUCCCAGUUCCCUAUUCAAAUAUUCCAUAGCAAUCACAAAUAGAUAAGGAGACAUAGGGUCACCUUGCCUAAUACCUCUCCUAGCAAUGAAUGGCUUAGUUAGGCCACCAUUCAGUACUAGGAAAUAGGAAACAGAAGUAACACAAGCCAUUAUCCAGUUUAGAAAAUUAGCAGGAAAUCCAAGGUCAAUAAGGACAUGUUUAAGAAAGCCCCAUUCAAGAGUGUCAUAAGCCUUCCUUAGAUCCACCUUGAGUACACAUCUUGGCCUGAUACCCCUCUUAGCUUUGAAAGGUUUUGUUAAGCCACCAUUCAGAGCUAGAGAAUAUGAGACUGUAGUGACACAUGCCAUUAUCCAUUGAACAAAUUUAGCAGGGAAUCCUAGAUCAAUAAGAACCUGUUUAAGGAAACUCCAUUCCAAAGUAUCAUAAGCCUUUUUCAGAUCCACUUUCAAGACACAUCUGGGAGACACUCCUUUCCUAGAAUAGCCUUCGAAGAUUUCAUGGCUAAAUAGAAUGUUAUCAACUAUGCUUCUUCCUUCAAUGAAAGCUGAUUGAGCCUACCCAAUUAAAUCUCCAAUCACACUUUUCAUUCUUUCAGUAAUGACUUUGGAUAUGAUCUUCUACAAGGUAGUGCAGCAAGCUAUGGGCCUGUAAUCUUUAACUUUUGCAGGAGCUUUAACUUUGGGAACAAGUGCAAUAGCUGUUGCAUUAAUCAUUUGAGGCAUUCUGUUGGUGGAGAAGAACUCUUUUGCAGCAGCAAGUAUAUUAGCCUUUACUAUUUCCCAGUUCUUAGUAAAGAAAUAUUUUUUUUGAAAUUUUCAAUUUUCAUGAUAAAACAAACUGGGUUUCAAAGGUUUAAAGAUGACCUACAAACUAUAAAAAAAUAAAAAAACUCACAUAUUCUAAUCAAAAUAAUUGCAAACUUAAAAACAAACGACCAGCUACCUUUCCAUGUUUGUCAAAUUCAACCAUAUGGCUGUUUUUGCAAAUGUGACCCUUUCACAUGAAUUUUGAGGCAGAGGAGGAUUAUGUUAUGACAUGUCAUAAAUUUGUUCGUUCUUUUACAAAAAUAACAUUUCAACAAUUAAAAGAUAUUCUAAGGCUAUCUCGACAAGAAUGGUUUAAGACAUCGCCGAAGCUGGCUGGGCUUAUUUUGACAAAAAUCCAAAUGGCACUCACUUGCCCACUCACUCUUUUUUUUUUCAAAUUGAAAUAUAAGACCUGGUAUUACAAACACGGCCUUUCAGCACCUCAGAUACGAAGAUGUUAAGGAUGAGUUAGGUAACCGGCCCAAAUCUUAAAACAAUGAUUAAAGGUGGCUGUUAAUGCAAAGUCAUCCUUCCCGCAUCCCUUUCGGGAACAUUCCGCUAUUAUAAAAAAAACAACAUCACCGACUUAUUUACGACUCUUUUCUUUUUUCUUUUUAUUUUUUUCAAAAUGGGAGACCUGAUAUUGCAAACACUGCCUUUCAGCGUCUUGGGGACGAAGAUUGUAAGGCUCUAUGGGUCAACCGACCAAAAAUCUAAACAAUGACCAAAGGUGGCCUGUUAAUGUAAUUUCAGCCUUCCGGUGUCCCUUUCGAGAACAUUCGUCUAUUUUUGACAAAAAUGGCAACACCCAACUUAUUUAUGACGAUAAUCAAAAUUAAUUUUUUUUUGGAUAUUUUAGCAAAUGGGGAGGUUGGACCCGAUUAAAGCUGCAUGUGUAUCUCACAUCCGGUGAGAAUCAAACCAGUGUAGUUCGCCAGGAGAACAAGCUAAAUUUGAAAACAAGUAUUUUUUUUCAAAUAAAUCAAACUAAAAACGUUUCUUUUUUUCAUUUUUUCAAAAUUUUGCCGGUCAGCAUGCCAGUUCGAAGCAAACAAAUGCAUAAAACAGGAUGCAUCAGGAUGGUCUUUUAACUUGAGAUUGCGUGUCCUAGACGGACCCAACCUCCGUUUUGAGUCCCUUAAGUCAAAUGCACAUGAUGCAAAUAAACGUUCCUACUAGGGAUCCGUCAUGAAGUCUUGUCAUACUAGGUUUUACUGCCUUGGGUGUGAGGGGUAUCCAGACUGGCCAUAAAACGAGCGGACAACUCGAGUUGGGAAGGGGUAGCGUACUGGGAGCAAAGCUUUUCCAGCUUUAGCUACUGAACCGUCCCCGUUCUUAAAUAUGGGUGACUGAUAAUCCUUCACCAGGAGCCCAUGCCCACCAGCUUUAUCUCAACAAAGAAUGGGGCGCGUAUCCGCAAUUCCCGGGGUUGUAUUGAGAAGACUCAGAGGGGUGCGCAAGAAGACAGUUUAUAAUAUAGUUCAGCAAUAUCAAAGUGGUAAAACAGUCAACUAGCAUAGUAAGAACAAAUAAUAUAACAAAAAUCAGAUAAAGCCAAAAAUAAAAAUUUAUCUAAGCUCUAAUUUCUAACCCUGAGCCAGUGGUUCUGGGUUAUAUUUCCCCAGCGGAGUCGCCAAAACUUUCGUACCUCCUUUUUCUGCCCCGCGAGGGCGCAGAGGAGUUUUUCCAAUUAAAAGACAAUCGAACGGGAUUUGUUUAUUUAUUUCAGAGUUGCCACUUGGGAGAUUUAGGGUGUCCCAAGUCACCGGUUUAAUCCCAAAUCAAGGAAAAGAAUAAAUCCAUAGUACAGUCUGCGUACUAGAAAUCCAGAUAAGGAAUUCUGUUAACCCGAGAUAAGGUGUGAAGCAUUCCCAAAUUCCGUGGUUCUAGCACGGUCGCUCAACUGUCAUAUUUAGCUUAUUUAUCUGAUUUCAUUACAUGACGAGCAUAUGUGCAAAUUUUAACUUUGAACCGAUUUUUUCAUUUAUUUAUUUUUAAAAAAAUUGCAACGUCGUGAGAAUGCGUCUCUAACUGCGUCACAUAAAAGUAUUCGAAAUUUUUGAUGUGUUCCGACUUCGUUGAGAUUUGAAUUUGGGUCGCAUAAAUGUAUACCCGAGUUUAGCGAGGUAACAUUAUUGAAAUAAGCGUCUAGAGAUGCUAACGCGUUAUUAUUUUUGAGAAGGCCGGGAAGUUUGCUAAACGGCAUGUCCAAAAAUCUAUGCAUUUAUACAUACAUUUAAUAAGGGCCCCGUAGUUGGUAUUUUUGUUUUGGCGAGGUGUGUCUUAUUUCAUUUUGAAAUGAUGUCCUAGAGCAACUACAUUUGCUAUUUCAUUGCGUCUCUAAAAAUGGAAGGAAAGUCCUAUAUUAUUUACAUGCUAGAAUUAUUAGCCUAAGUUAUAAAGAUGGUAUCAUUUUAUAAAUGAAAAGGGGGGUAAAGGGGAAGUUCUGCCGUUUUUGGGCCCAGGCCAAGCGUGAAUAAUGCAGAAUUUGGGCCUGGGCCAUCUUAUAUUAUUUUGGGCCUAAAUUACAUCAUACUGCAUGUUUCGAAUUUGCAAGAUGGUAGAAACAAAAUUAAACCCUAAGGGAAAGAAAAAAUGUUUACAACAGUUGAAUGAACAAAUAAUUAAUUAAGCAGGUAAACUACUGAUUACUUAACAAAUUUAAACUUAGUCAUGCAUUUUAAAGGGACUACAAGUUAAGCGAAUUGAAAUGACGGAAAACUUACUGCAGUACUGAUCCUAAUCUAACUAGCAUACAUGAGUUUGCAAAUUUAACCUAUUACAAAUUGGACCUAAUCGAUACAUUGCAGUUAAUUAAAUGAUUCGAGUGAGUUAAUAAUUAACAAAUACAUAUUCAGCUUAGAAUAUAAAUUACAGCUAAUUGGUUUCAAGCCUUAAAGUUGCAUUUUUUAUUCAUGCUUCAAGUGUUCCAGUUUACAUUGUGUACCAGGAUAGAAGUUGUGUACCUUGUAAUUGACAAAGCAAAGGAAAAGAGGAAGAUCAGUAAUGAGCAGUAGUAGCACAACACAUCAACACAAAUUUCAGCAACAAAUUCAGCAACACCAAUGGUAGACCAAUAAUAACACCAAUGGAACAGUGAUGCAUAAAAACGCAGUACCAGAUUCGAAAACCCACAAAUAAACUCCAAUAACCAAUAUAAUAGUAGCCCAAUAACCUACCAAACUCCGUAAGAGAAUAGAUGAAAAUCAAAGAUAUUUAUAGCAAUCAACAAGUCGAAACAACACGAACCAGAACCAGUGAACAUAAGAACAAUUCUGAUUCUUUUGGGAUUUAAAAGUUAGUUUACAUUUCACUGUUAAAUUCUGAAAAUCUGAUUGUCAAAAAUUCCAUCUUUGUUUUGAAUUUUGCUCUCUCUCUCUCUCUCUCUCCUCUCUCUCUCUCUCUCUAUCUCUCCGAUUGUCUUCCUCAAAUUGAAUAUGCUUUGUCUAUUUAAAGACCAAAAUCAGUCCAUUCUUUAUUCAGAUUAUAACUUUUUCAGCAUGUAUUGUCCCUCCCAUGUGUAUUUCUACCCUUUCAUCCCUAACCCCACGCUUAUUUUCUGAUAUCCGAACUCAAAAGUUCCAAAAUAGAGUAUAUUACCCGCAGUUCCCGUUAAAAAUUCAAAAAGGAGUAUAUUCCCCUGACAACCCCUUUUUAUUAUUGAAAGGCUUUCCUUUUAUUAAACUAAACAAGUAUGGCCAGGCUGAAUCAGGCGUGCCUGACAGCCCAUAUUGUUUCCACUCAAAUGGAUUCAAAUAACAAAUAGAAAAAUGACUUAAAUGUUUUACUGAAGCAUACAGACCACUUGACAAUCACAUGGCUUCCAUUCAAACAUUGCAGUUUAAUUCAGUGAAUUACAUUUAAUUCAUCAGUUAAAAUAAAUCCUAGCCUGAUCAAUAAAUGGUACAAAUUGAAUCCAUAAUCAGAAUUGAAAAAAAUAUGAAUCAAAAUCAUCAGGUCAUUCCAACAUUCAAAAUUGUGUAAUUAGUCGAUGACAUUUAUAAAAUCGACUAUAUAUUACGACAUAUAUAAUCGAUAACAAAAUAAUCGACGCACAAACACCGAUUCACGGUUUUUGGGCAACAAGUGGGGAAAUGCAAAACUAAUCAUUCGACGAUAUUAAUCGAAAUGAAUAUGUAUUCUAUAACAAACGCAAAUAACAAACAACCAGAACAAAAAUCGACCAAAUAAAAGGUCUUGAGGAGGAGAACAUAAGAGUUUGAAAAAAGGAUAACUGAAUAAAAAACUGAACGUAAUAACGAGUAUAAACAUAGAAAAAGAAGUAGAAAUACCUCGAGAGAAAAAUCAGAGAUCAAAACGAACUUGGACCAAUUUCGGACAUGAACUUUCUAGGUCCAACGGAUUUUAAAAUAAGUGUUCUCAACUGAGAACACCUCAAUUAAAUUCAAUUAGACCCCAAACCCUAAUUAAUCGCGUGGAUUUCCUAAUCUGGUUCUCUAUGGUUAUUCAGGGCUCAAUUUGGUGUCCAAAUGGUAUAUGCUUGAUUCGAAUGGGACCAAAGGUGUUUAUGGCAUGUUAGAUGUCAGGGAGUUCCAUGGUGUGAGUUUGAGGCUAGUUGGGGUAGGUUUGGGUUUCACUCGAAUCUUCGAUUGAAGAUUCGAGAAGGUGGAGAUUAAUUCAAGGCAAGCGGUUAACGGAUUCGUGUUCAAGGUGCAAAUGGGGUUAAAGGGUGUUAAUUUUGUCGUUGGUGGCAUUUUUGCCGUCGGGUUUCAGGUGAAAGGAUUGGGUGCGGCUAGGGUUAUCGAGGGUUCGUUGGUCUCUGGUUCUUGGAGACGAAGGGAAGGGUAAUGGCUUGGGGAGU